rnacentral:rRNA from 1 species
AUUGAACGCUGGCGGCAUGCCUUACACAUGCAAGUCGAACGGUAACAGGUUAAGCUGACGAGUGGCGAACGGGUGAGUAAUGUAUCGGAACGUGCCCAGUCGUGGGGGAUAACUACUCGAAAGAGUGGCUAAUACCGCAUACGACCUGAGGGUGAAAGCGGGGGACCGUAAGGCCUCGCGCGAUUGGAGCGGCCGAUAUCAGAUUAGCUAGUUGGUGGGGUAAAAGCCCACCAAGGCGACGAUCUGUAGCUGGUCUGAGAGGACGACCAGCCACACUGGGUCUGAGACACGGCCCAGACGCCUACGGGAGGCAGAAGUGGGGAAUUUUGGACAAUGGACGCAAGUCUGAUCCAGCCAUGCCGCGUGCGGGAAGAAGGCCUUCGGGUUGUAAACCGCUUUUGUCAGGGAAGAAACGAGUUUCUCUAAUACAGAGACUUAAUGACGGUACCUGAAGAAUAAGCACCGGCUAACUACGUGCCAGCAGCCGCCGUAAGAC